rnacentral:snoRNA from 1 species
AUUCUAAUGAUGUGGACAGUCCUAUUGAAGAUCUUUGAACCUCUCCCAUGCAUCACAUAAGUUCUCAUCUAGCCUUUAUUUAAAGCUCACAAUCUCACAGUGCAGUCU